UAACAGGUGUAGCAAUACAUGCUGACGAGUGGCGCACGGGUGCGUAACGCGUAUGCAACCUACCUAUAACUGGGGAAUAGCCUUCUGAAAGGAAGAUUAACACCGCAUAACAUCAUGAAACGGCAUCGUUUUAUGAUCAAAUCUCCGGAGGUUAUAGAUGGGCAUGCGUGACAUUAGCUAGUUGGUGAGGUAACGGCUCACCAAGGCUACGAUGUCUAGGGGGUCUGAGAGGAUGAUCCCCCACACUGGUACUGAGACACGGACCAGACUCCUACGGGAGGCAGCAGUAAGGAAUAUUGGACAAUGGGCGCAAGCCUGAUCCAGCCAUGCCGCGUGAAGGAUGACGGCCCUCUGGGUUGUAAACUUCUUUUAUAUGGGAAUAAACCCCUGGUUUCUACCGGGGCUGAAUGUACCGUAAGAAUAAGGAUCGGCUAACUUCGUGCCAGCAGCCGCGGUAAUACGAAGGAUCCAAGCGUUAUCCGGAUUUAUUGGGUUUAAAGGGUGCGUAGGCGGACUAUUAAGUCAGUGGUGAAAGCCUGCAGCUUAACUGCAGAACUGCCAUUGAUACUGAUGGUCUUGAGUACAUUUGAGGUGGGCGGAAUGUGUCAUGUAGUGGUGAAAUACUUAGAUAUGACACAGAACUCCGAUUGCGAAGGCAGCUCACUAAACUGUAACUGACGCUGAGGCACGAAAGCGUGGGGAUCAAACAGGAUUAGAUACCCUGGUAGUCCACGCCCUAAACGAUGAUUACUCGAUGUGUGCGAUACACUGUACGCGUCUGAGCGAAAGCAUUAAGUAAUCCACCUGGGGAGUACGGCCGCAAGGCUG
rnacentral:rRNA from 1 species